UGGGCUAUAGUGUAAUUGGCAACACGAGAGUUUCUGGUUCUCUUAUUCUAGGUUCGAGUCCUGGUAGCCCAG
rnacentral:tRNA from 9 species